rnacentral:rRNA from 1 species
AGAGUUUGAUCAUGGCUCAGGACGAACGCUGGCGGCGUGCUUAACACAUGCAAGUCAAGGAUAAUCCCGCCUUCGGGUGGGAGGACACUGGCGAACGGGUGAGUAACGCGUAGACAACCUGCCUCACAGAUCGGGAUAGCCCCGGGAAACCGGGAUUAAUACCGGAUACGAUCUCGACACAUGCGUAUCGGGAUGAAAGCGGGCUUCGGCUCGCACUGAGAGAUGGGUCUGCGUCUGAUUAGCUUGUUGGUAGGGUAACGGCCUACCAAGGCGACGAUCAGUAGCUGGUCUGAGAGGAUGAUCAGCCACACUGGGACUGAGAUACGGCCCAGACUCCUACGGGAGGCAGC